UCACAAGAAGAAUUUAAAUGUAGCCAAUCAGAGUAAAGCUAAUCUACUUGUAACAUUCACAAGAUAACUUAGGAUUUUCAAUUAAUAUAAGGUAGAAAGUGUUUUGUACCGUCAGAUGUAUUCAUCAUUUGAUCCAACGGUUAUGAUCGCCUCUCAAAAAUUAGACAGCUCCCAUCUUAUAAGUAACUGAAGCAGAUUUUAACAAGACAGAAGUGUCUUUGUCAAAACGUCAUUAUAACAUAAAACACCGCCGGAGAUGGCCGCAACUCCCACCGCCGCCGCUGCUUCGUCCUGAGUGGCUUGAUGGUUCGUUGGUUGGAGAUUACGUCUUUGAUCCUUUCGGUUUGGGUAAACCGGCCGAGUAUCUCCAGUUCGAUAUAGAUUCGCUAGACCAGAAUCUAGCUAAGAACCCGUACGGAAGUGGCCGCUCCCAAGUCGACUCCGUUUCAACCGUACAGCGAAGUGUUCGGAAAGGUGGAUGGAUCGUCUCUACUUGGGGCAGCCACUACCCUUCUCCAUCUCGACGUUGAUAUGGAUCGAGGUGUUAGUGUUCGGCUACAUCGAGUUCCCACGCAAGACGCAACGCCUAGUCUGACCCUGAGAAGAUGGCUCAGCUUCAGUCAAGCCUGGCUUCUGUUGAAGUAUAAACAGAGCUGCUAUGAGACUGAAUCGCGUUUGCCUUUUAAAAUUGGUUUUAGGCUUUUGUUACUUUGGUCUUUUAACACACUAUUAUUGGCCUGGUUGUCAUUUUCUGUGGCCAACCAAGACUGAACCUGAUGAAUCCUCAUAAUUUUGAGCGGGAGGAACGCUUUGCUUUUGAAAUUCAGCAAAUAAUGAUAGAGUACACAAACCCGCUUAGAAAGAACAUCUCUGAGACUCACUAUGGGAUACCACAAGGGUUUAGAAAUGCAAUGGCCUAGCUUCAUUGAGAACAUGUACUCAAACUUGUCUAAAGAUACAACAAAAUUUCCAUCAUUUUGUGCCUAGGCCGUUUAUUUGUUUUAUUAAUGAUAACACUAUUUUCAUUC